rnacentral:rRNA from 1 species
UACGAAGGGGGCUAGCGUUGCUCGGAAUCACUGGGCGUAAAGCGCACGUAGGCGGCUUUUUAAGUCAGAGGUGAAAUCCUGGAGCUCAACUCCAGAACUGCCUUUGAUACUGGAGAGCUUGAGUCCGGGAGAGGUGAGUGGAACUGCGAGUGUAGAGGUGAAAUUCGUAGAUAUUCGCAAGAACACCAGUGGCGAAGGCGGCUCACUGGCCCGGUACUGACGCUGAGGUGCGAAAGCGUGGGGAGCAAGCAGG